GUAUUUCAAUUAUUUGAAAUUCAAUUUUUUCUUUUAUUUUUUGUGUCAUCUUAUUAUUUUACAAACUCAUCUAACAAAAAAAAAUUUUUUUUUUGCAGGUACUUUAAUCAAGGAACGUAAAUUAUUCCACACGGGCAGCGGUUAUGCUGUAGUGACUCCAGAUACCUUCAGACUCCUGGCCAUGUCCCCUCCUUUGGAGAGGCAAAUGUUGUUGACCAACGAAGAAGCCAUUGUCCGGUUACAUGGCACUGCAUAUACUGUAGAUGAUGGCCGGACAACCUGCACCCAGACACAGCAACAAGAGAUUCUCACUGCCUGGUCAUCGGCCGAGAGGAUUCUCGAACCCAGAAAACAUGGAAAACUGAAAAGGUGUCACUCUCUGAAAUUGCUGAGAGGUGAGAGACUUUCUCGGAGUAACUCUUUCAAGUCCAACACACACCAAGACUUCAGGAACAGCAACGAAGCCAUCAAAA